rnacentral:rRNA from 1 species
GAUCCUGGCUCAGGGUGAACGCUGGCGGCGUGCCUAACACAUGCAAGUCGAGCGGUGCAGCUGGAGGCUUCGGCCGAAGGCUGCAUAGCGGCGAACGGGUGCGUAACGCGUAGGAACGUGCCCCCUGGAGGCGGAUAGCCGUGGGAAACUGCGGGUAAACCGCCGUAGACUCGGGAGAGUAGAGGCCGAAAGGCGCCAGGGGAGCGGCCUGCGUCCCAUCAGGUAGUUGGUAGGGUAACGGCCUACCAAGCCUACGACGGGUAGCCGGUCUGAGAGGAUGGCCGGCCACAAGGGCACUGAGACACGGGCCCUACUCCUACGGGAGGCAGCAGUGGGGGAUAUUGGACAAUGGGCGAAAGCCUGAUCCAGCGACGCCGCGUGGAGGACGAAGCCCUUCGGGGUGUAAACUCCUUUUGUCGGGGAAAAAGGACUGAUGGUACCCGACGAAUAAGCCCCGGCUAACUACGUGCCAGCAGCCGCGGUAAUACGUAGGGGGCGAGCGUUACCCGGAAUUACUGGGCGUAAAGGGUGCGUAGGCGGCCGAGUGUGUCUGGCGUAAAAUUCCACGGCUCAACUGUGGGUAUGCGCUGGAAACUACUCGGCUUGGGUGCGGCAGAGGCAGACGGAACUGCUGGUGUAGGGGUGAAAUCCGUAGAUAUCAGCAGGAACGCCGGUGGAGAAGUCGGUCUGCUGGGCCGUAACCGACGCUGAGGCACGAAAGCUAGGGGAGCGAACCGGAUUAGAUACCCGGGUAGUCCUAGCCGUAAACGAUGCUCACUAGGUGUGGGGACGGAAGUCUCCGUGCUGAAGCGAACGCGAUAAGUGAGCCGCCUGGGGAGUACGCCCGCAAGGGUGAAACUCAAAGGAAUUGACGGGGGCCCGCACAAGCGGUGGAGCGUGUGGUUUAAUUGGAAGCUAAGCCAAGAACCUUACCAGGGCUUGACAUGCUGGUGGUACCGAGCCGAAAGGUGAGGGACCCUGCCGCAAGGUAGGGAGCCAGCACAGGUGGUGCACGGUCGUCGUCAGCUCGUGCCGUGAGGUGUUGGGUUAAGUCCCGCAACGAGCGCAACCCCUGCCCUUAGUUGCCAGCGGUAAAGGCCGGGCACUUAAGGGGACUUGCCGGCGACGAACCCGAGGAAGGAGGGGAUGACGUCAGAUACUCGUGCCCCUUAUGUCCUUGGGGACACACGCGCUACAAUGGGAUGGACAGCGGGAAGCGAGGCAGCGAUGUUGAGCAAAACCCUGAAACCAUCCCCCAGUUCAGAUUGUGGGCUGAAACCCGCCCACAUGAAGCCGGAAUCGCUAGUAAUCGCGGAUCAGCCACGCCGCGGUGAAUACGUUCCCGGGCCUUGUACACACCGCCCGUCAAGCCACUCGAGUCGCGGGCACCCGAAGACGGUGACCCUUAGGGGCGCCGUUGAGGGUGAACGUGGUGAGGGGGGCUAAGUCGUAACAAGGUAGGUGUACCGGAAGGUGCGCCUGGAUCACCUCCUUUCU